rnacentral:precursor_RNA from 1 species
UGGAAACUUACUAAGUGAUCACUUUCAAAUUCAGAGAAACCCUGGAAUUAACAAAAAUGGGCAAUCCUGAGCCAAAUCCUGUUUUCCGAAAACAAACAAAGAUUCAGAAAAAAAGGAUAGGUGCAGAGACUCAAUGGAAGCUAUUCUAACAAAUGGAGUUAAAUGCGUUGGUAGAGGAAUCUUUACAUCGAAACUUCAGAAAGAAAAAGAAUGAAGUGAAGGAUAAACGUAUAUACAUACGUAUUGAAUACUAUAUCAAAUGAUUAAUGAUGACCUGAAUCCGUAUUUUUUCUAUAAAAAAUAGAAGAAUUGGUGUGAAUCGAUUCUACAUUGAAGAAAGAAUCGAAUAUUCAUUGAUCAAAUCAUUCACUCCAUAGUCUGAUAGAUCUUUUGAAGAACUGAUUAAUCGGACGAGAAUAAAGAUAGAGUCCCGUCCUACAUGUCAAUACCGGCAACAAUGAAAUUUAUAGUAAGAGGAAAAUCCGUCGACUUUAAAAAUCGUGAGGGUUCAAGUCCCUCUAUCCCCAAAAAGACGAUUUCACUCCCCAACUAUUUAUCCGACCCCCU